rnacentral:sRNA from 1 species
UUACAGUAAAGAAUUGAAGUGCGAAUUCUUGUUGUUAGAAGGUUGCGCAAGUUCGGAAUGACAAGAUUGUAACGAAAAGCCCGACGCUGA